GCCUAGUUAGCUUAGUUCUUAGUUGGUAGUGCAUCUGCCUUGUAAGCGCUAGGCCGCGGGUUCGAUUCCCGCCCAGGGCG
rfam:Asian citrus Psyllid, Diaphorina citri - Florida Strain, whole genome shotgun sequence.